rnacentral:rRNA from 1 species
UACGAAGGGGGCUAGCGUUGCUCGGAAUUACUGGGCGUAAAGGGCGCGUAGGCGGAUAUUUAAGUUGGGGGUGAAAUCCCGGGGCUCAACCUCGGAAUUGCCUUCAAAACUGGAUAUCUUGAGUUCGGGAGAGGUGAGUGGAAUUCCCAGUGUAGCGGUGAAAUGCGUAGAUAUUGGGAGGAACACCAGUGGCGAAGGCGGCUCACUGGACCGGUUCUGACGCUGAUGCGCGAAAGCGUGGGGAGCAAACGGG